UUUCUCAGUCUUCUCCAUCAGAGAUUUUAUUUAUUCCCCAGCUCCAACUAUUAGAGAGAUGGCUUUAUCCACAUCUCAAGAGCUGACUGCUCAAAACCGCUUAUUCUCAACCCUGCCUAGACAUCAGAGUCACUUGGACUUCAUGCCUAGAGAUUCAGGUUUAAUUAGCCAGGUUGUGUGAUCAAGACACUGCAGGAAACAAGAUAUGCAUGAUCCCUGCCUUUAUGAUAAUAGCAGGACAGAAGGUAAUUUUUCAGAAAUCCAGGCUCCAGUCAUCUUUUCCACCUUUAAUCCAAUUUACUUUUAAUUUAUGUGAUGUAUAAAUUAUUAUGUAGGUAUCUCUUAUCUUGCAUUAUGAACUACAGCACAGGGAUAUUCCUUCAUUUUGACCCCGCCGUAUCUAGUUAAUAUUUUAUACAUAGUACACCUCUGUACAUUUUUACUAAAGGAAUAAAAAAGUAGGAAUGGCUGAUGGGUUGACUUUGGGAGAGGUGCAGUGGAGGAAGUGGCAGCUGGGGCCAAGGUUAAAGUAGGAAGAAAAUCUACUGACAAAAACUGUUCUCUCCCAGUCCCUUGUGUUUCCAGGUGAAUUAGUUCAUUAUGCAAGUCAAGAUUUGAAGUAUGGACUUCAUUCAUACUCUCCUUCUCCACUCAGUUCCGAAUAAAGUGAGUUACAGAGAACCCACUAGCAGUACUUUACGAGUGCUAGCAAUUGCUACCACGCAUCCUUAAUAGCAGUGUAAUCAAAAGUUAUGAUGCAUUUUUCUGUAAUCACAAGAAAUGAUACCCACUUAGUGCUAAGUAAAGCAAAUUCCCCACCAAGAAAAACGGCUAAAGCAUUUCAAUUUUCAUUUUGAAACGAGUGAGUCAGAAUCAAUUUGGUAAAGCAGUUAACGGCAACUGUGUGCCCCUUUCCAGUUUGUAACGGGUUCAUAACAGGUACAAUUUUAUUUCAAUAAACAGCCAAGCAGAGAUCUCUGAUGCUAGAUUAACAUGGUGUAUUCAAAUCUUCUGACUAUUGUGUAUUUAAAUUGGGUAAUAGAG
rnacentral:lncRNA from 1 species